GAGCUCGCCAGCCUUAUGGCGGCAGGAGAGCGCAAUUUUCAUGUGAGCACCUCAAUCAGUGUGGCCUUGUAAGUAAAGAAAGUAAAGGAAAUCGAGACACACUCAGAAUUUAACAAGAGCAGUGAUAGCCUGGAAGAACUGCUUAGAGUUACAGCAGUCCUAUCCACCAAGGGACAGCACGGCUAUAUAUGCAGAAGUGGCUUUCAUUGGAUCAGAUGGUACCCGCUGGAUCACUGAGUCAGCUCCUUCCAUCACUUUUACUUGGGAUCUUGGAAAAA